UUUAUUUUUUUAUUUUACGUUCAUAGAAGUAAGAAAUAAUUAAAGAAACGUAUAAGUAAAUGAGUAAAUAUAUAAAUGUAUUGGACACUACUAGUUAAGUAGUCACGUGGCGCUAGUAUCGCGUCACUGGUUGUCAUACUUUAAGUUCAAAGGAACAUAUAUGCUUAGAAAACUUCAAUUUCUAGAAUCGGUAAAAAUAACUCCAGAUAAGUAAACAAAUAGAAAGUGUGGCAGUUAAUUACUAUACAUAACGAAAUUGUUUAAAUCGAAGUAAAGUUAAUAUAUGCAAAAUAUACGUCAUAAAUGUCUGAUAAUCUAUAUUUUGUCUAGAAAAUUAUCUAUAAUUGAGCAAAUGCUAUACUUUAGAUAUUUUUAUUUUAUUUUUAUUCUAGAUAUCGUAUAUCUUUACACCUGAGUUGAUUAUUUUUGAAAAAAUUGAAUAAUAAUGUACGAUAUAGAUAAGUAAAAUUCCAAAUAUUAAUGCUUAAUUAAUUUUAAUAAGAUUAUUAAGGUUUUUUUAACGAUUAAUAAAUCGUAAAAAAAAAAUUAGUCAAUUUAUUGAUGAUCUAUCUCUUCAUAAAUUUAUAUGGAAUUCUUUGUUUCUUUAUAGUAACUCUUCGUUACUUUUUAUUUUAUUAUGACGUACAAUAGAGAAAAGAUAAUUGAAAAAUUCUUUUCCGAUCUCUGAAAAAAAAAAGGAAAUAAAGUGAAUCUUAAAUUUUAAUGAAAAUAUUAAUCAUUUUGUUAUAAUGUAUAAUGAAAGAAAUAAAAUUGAAGAAGAUUUUUUGCAUGUCGAUGACCUUGAAAAUAAAAUAGAAGAAAAUUAGUGAUUCAUUCGCAUUUCUCCGCGAGUGUCAAGUUUGUGUUUUAGGUUAAACGUUGCUUUCUACAUAUGUGCUAAUACAUAUUAAUUUUCUGAUAUUUUUUCUCAGAAUCAUUGGAGGUCAAUUGUCGUAUAAUAUUAUUUUCCCGUUAUAUAUACAUACAUCAAAAUGGUAAAAGAAAGUCCCGUUUAGUCAAUUUCAAAAGUAAUAUUGUCAGCUAUUGAGGACGAAAAAAAAAAGUAUUUGAAAGAAAAUUUUUUAUUCGAUUUCUCUAACAAUUAUAUAAAUACAAAUAAUAAUAAUUAGAGCCAUGCAUUUCUUUAAAAAGAUUAAUUCGAUUUUAUUCAAUUAUCUUAUUCAUCUUCAUUUUUACCAUCUUUUCCCUUAUAUUUAUCCACGUUUCUGCGAUAUGAAAAUUUUCUUUUAUUCUUUUAUAAAAUUCCAAAUAAAAAUUUUUCUUUUUAUAACAAAAUUUUUAUAAACUAUUCGUAUAAAAUAUCUGGGGCAUUAAAAUUUUUUCUUUCUUUGAUCCAUUUGUCCGUUAAUCAUGAGAAAUAUUCUUUUUAUAUCGGCGUUUUAUAUAUUGUAAAAAAAAAAAAAAAAAUAAAUAAAAACACGAAUCUUCAAUAAUUCCAAAUGAAACUCGACACUAUUUUUUUUUUAAAAUAUUCUAUCCAUUUGAAAAUCGAAUUUUUAAAACCUUUUGCAUUAAGAUUUUUGUAUACAGCGAAUUUUCAUUUAAAAAUUGGCGGAAUUGGAAAAGAGUUACAAAGGAUUGUGUUAAAAUAAAAAAAAAAUAAAAAAAUAUACGUCCUUUUAUGUACUGAUAUAUCCUCUAAGAAAUAAAAAAUCAUAAUGAUUAAUAAAUCGAUACACGUCGGUUUACAUGUUUCGAGUAAAAUGAUAGAAACCGAUAAUUAUCACGGAAAAACAGGUUAAAUUCCCGCCAUUAUUAAUCACAUUCCCUGUUACGAUGCCUUAAUUACGUUCGUUAAUUACGUUUCCUUUGAAAUUGAAAUCAUAUUGGCUUCCUAUCGAUCGGGAACAUGCAUAUAUAUACAUAUACGUUACGUUUCCAUUAAAGUUUUGUUUACUCUUUGCCGAGGUUUUUUUUUUUUUUUUUAUUUUUAUUUUUAUUUCGACCGCGUCGAGUCGAGGAGAUUUAGAGGAACGCUUGUUGUUGGCUUCGAAACUCAUGCCAAAAACGAACCGUUCGAUCUCCUGACCGAUGAAAAAUUACAUAUCGUCCUGCGCUAUUUAAUUUUAAUCAAAUGAGUGGUAACCGUCAGGGUUAAGGGAACAAAAUAUCGUAAAAAUAUUUUUUUUUUUUUAUCUUGAUUACACUUUAUCUUAAUUCAUUCUUGUUUAGGAAAGUUUAUUUUAAUAAAUUUUGUUACAUUGUUACAUUUGUUUAUAUAUCGUUUCACAUUAUGUAGGAUAUAAAUACUAUUUUUAUAAAAAUUUAAUAAAUUUAAACAACAAGUAAAUCAAAAUCGUCGAAUAUAAAAAUGCUUUUUUAAUUUAAAAUUCGAAUAUUUGUAAUUCGUUCUUCUAAGAGAAUUUUUAAUAAGUUCUGUCGUUAUAUUAUAAUUUUGUAUAUUAUGUAUUGGAUAUACUUAGAUGAAUCUGUUUAUUAGAUUAGUAGAUCUGUUUAAAAUAAUUAUUUAUGCAAAUUAAUCUUGAAAUUAAUCGAUGAAUUUUAUCAUAACCUUGUAAAUUUUGUUGUAUAUUCCUGUUAUUAUUAUUUAAAAUCUUUUGUAUCUAACAUUGAAAAAUACUUUGUGAAAAUAAAAAAAAAUAAAUAAAUUAGAUCUAGAUUCCUAAAAAGUAAGUAGAACUUUUUAAACAUAAAACUCAAAUUUAAACGUAACACUUGAAAUAUUUCAAUAUAUGUUGAAAGAUAAAAAAAAAAAUUUUAGAUAAAAAAAAUCUUGAUUGAAUAUGCUUUUUCUAAAUUAAUUUUUUGUCGAGAAUCAAAUUACGCUUCCUCGUUCAUUCAUUUAUCAGUCCAACAAUCUUUACGUACCAUCAUCCGGUUAGAUAAACACAAUCAAAAUGGUGUUACUUAAUUCGGAGAAGAGAUUGCAAAAACAUUCGUACACACUAUUAAUACACGAUGAAACUUCGUUUCGUUUCCAUGAAUUAAAUUUUAAUAAACUUUGAACUCUAAUUCCUAGUACUCUAAUUACAUAUACGUGAACAUUUAUCUUAUAAUACAAAAUAAUUGAAAAUAUGCACAAUUUAAAAUUAACGCGCAAUUUUUAAUUUAAAAUAUUAAAUUUACAAAAAACAUUUUCAAAAUUCAUCAAAUUUGACACAAAAUUUUUCCUAAAAUCUUCUUACGUAGCGUAUUAAUAUAUUUUUGAAACACUUUUCGAGAAUUGAUUCUAGAAACAAAAACAAAUAUUGACUGAAACUUAUCUAUUAAAUUAUAAGUGAAAUUCAUUCGCAAUGAAGCGAAGAGAAAAUAGAGUGAGAUAAUUCUAUCUCACAUUUUUCUUCUUUACUUAUAACCUCAAUUAUUCGUAAUUUAAACAAGCCUCGAUUAAAAUUUUUGUGCAUAAACUUUUGUGUAUCUUUUGUCGCUAUAUAUAAUUGAGUCUACAACUUCCAUUAAUUUAACAAAAAAAAAAAAUUAUAAAAAAAGAGAGAGUCAAAUAUAUUUCUAUGAUGUUAACCUAUAUUCGUCCCCAAUUUAAAUUCAGACAAAUAUAUUUCACUUUAUUCCCAGCGAUUAUUAAAUCUUCCAAAUGAAUUAGAACGUUACAUAUUAUCUCGAACAUAAUCUAUAUUACACAACACUACGGUAGAUAACAAUUUAAUCAACAAACAAUUCUCUCCAUGCACGCUAAGAACUUCGAUCCAACGUCGACGAUUCGAAACUGAGCAGAGGACAUUUGUUACACCGAAUUUUUGCACGUCCUGACUUAAUUUAAUUUUCUCGAAUUCCAUAUCACUAUCUCGAAGGGAUUACAAUUUCUACCUCUGAAUUUUCGCUUCUUUCUUUCUUUCUUUCUUUCUUUCCUUUCCUUUCUUUGUUCAAUGAAUCGACAAUUUAUAUUUUUUCGCUGGCAAGCAAGAGAUUUAGAGAGACAGCCAACUCGGCUCUGGAAUUCGUGCCAAAACCGUGCAAUCUGCACGAUCGAAGCAGCCGUGCUAUAAGCUACACAUAGUUCGAGGUAAAUCCGCUUCGUCAUUCGAUGACAUCACGAGGCAAAUCGCUCGAGUAUACACCGUCAUUAUUCUCUAUAAGUGCAUAUUGCGGAUCAUUCUUCAAUAAAUAAGAAUGUGUGUUUUUAUCAGAAUGAUGUAAACACUUAUAUCUUGAUCAUAAAUCAAUAUAGGGAAAUCCAAUAUAACAAAUGGUUGUUUAAUUUUUAAGUAAGGUUAGAAAAGUUUAUGCGCUCUUCAGGGAUUUGAAUUUUUCAGACAUGGUUCCAAAUGCUACAUUUAUAUAAAUGCUCCCACUUACAUAAUUUAAUAUUGCAACGUGUUAAUAAAAAUUUAAAUGGAAAAAAAAUUAGUCAUAAGAAAUCAAUCUGAAGUUACGGCGUUCAAAAUCUUCAAGAUUAUAUUUAUAACCCAUAGAUUCAUUAAGAAUAUGAGUAUCAUAAGUAUGUUAUAUCGCUCUUUGAUCCAUUCUCACUUACAAUUAGAAUAUUGUUCCACGAUCGGUGGUCGACCUAUCAACAAUAUCUUUUUAAUAAAAUCGAGAGCAUUCAAUAUAAAUUCCUACUAUUUGCUUUCAUUAUGGGUUCUCUCAUGUCAUUAUAUAAUCACGUCUGAACACUUAUAUUAACUCGUCUAAAUUCUUGUGCCUUGAGAGAUGUGACAUAUACUAUUUUAAAUUGUCACUUGUCCGGAAACUCUUAUUUGCAAAUUAUUUAUUUAAUCAAAUUAUAUAUAUAUAUUUGCAUAAAUUAUAUUAUCAUAUAUGUUGAUUCAAUAAUUCAACAAAUCAAUGAAUUAAUCUUUUGAUUUCCAAUUUUUUUAAACGUAAUGUAUAGUAAAAAAUAUUUAUACAUCUUAUUUAUUAUUAAUGUAAUAAUUAAUCAAUUUAAUUCAAAUAUUUAUAAUCAUACGAUAUUGUAUACAAUAUUAAUAAAACAAAUAACAAAAAGGAAAUAUUAAAGUCUGUUAAAAAAAACAUUUUAUUAUAAAAUAAAAAUAGGAAUAUUUUCUAUAACUUUUGAACAUUGAAUAUAUAUUUUUUUCUUAUUAUUUGUAAAAAAUUCUCUUCAAUAAAUAAAUAAAGGAAAAGUAUAUCAAAGUUAUAUUAAGAUAAAUGUAUAUCAAUAUAAUUGAAGUUUAUGUCAGUUCUAUCUUUGUCAUACCAUUAUGUUCUAUUCUCUUUAUCUAAAAUUACAAAAACUAAAAUCACUCAUAUCUUAAGUGAAAUAAGAAACGACAUUUUUACAUAUCCCUGUUUAAAAAAAGAAAAUAAUUAAACAUAUAUGCAGAAAUUUUGGAAUGAAAAAAAAUUUAUCCGAAUAAGAAUUAACUAUUUUUAAAAUUUCCAAAAUUUGACUUACUUAAAAAAAAAUUUUAUUCCAUAUUUUCGUUUCAUUUUAAGCCCUCUAUCAUCCUCCUAACCUAUAUUUCUGAUUAAAUCCUACACUUUGAUUUCUCCUCCAUGAAUCGAAAAUUCCCUUUAUUUAACAAACUCGUCCGCUCAUUUCCGUUCGAGAAAAUUUUCGAAAACAGGGAAUGACACAGAAAUCGCGAAGCAACACUGUGAAACACAGUUUCGACGAUCGUCUGUUAGCCUAGACGUAACGAACGUGCGACCUGGCCAAUUAAAUUCAAUCGAAACUGAGUGAGCCGUGUCAAUGUACAAUCGUAACUCCACGUGGCUUCGAUAGAGAUGCUAUGCGAUUACUAAGAAACAAGAGUUCUCGAGAGAGAGAGAGAAAGAGAGAGAGAGAGAUACGACUCAGCAGUGGCAAUUAUCCACCGAGAAGUCGUUUUGCGCGAUUGGAACGAUGAAAGUAGGUUUUUCACGUCGUCAUCCAAUUUCCAAAGAUUGCAAAAGAUCUGUCUGGUUUACGCGAUAUGAGAUAAAACACGGCUUUGUCAUACGUUAGAUUUAACAAAUUGUGAAAACAUUUAAAAGUUGAAAUAAUUUUGCGGAAUUUACGAAAUUUGUAAAGUCACACGAAUCGUUGUUUAAUAUAGUUUAAAAUUUAACGAAGAGAGCUUUGUUUGAAAGCUUCUGUGCAAUUAAAACAAUUUAAGGGAAUGGUAAAAAAUACAGCGUAAUUAAAGAAAAAUACAGCUUUUUUUCUGAUAUAGGAUUUAUAGAAGCUUAUGUAAGGUUCGAUAAAUGUUAUUAUAAAAAUUGUUAAUCUAGGUAAUAAAAUAUUUUUCCUUACGUUGA